UCCAGUACUUAGACCGUCAUUACCAUAUGUAUAUAAAGACCAGUUGGUUGACCUAAUAAUAAAGAUAAGUUCCCCUCUUCAUUCACAACACGUUAUCUGCACGAUAGACUCCAAAACCCUGAGACAAAACCUAACCUAAAAUCCGUCACACAUAAACCUUAAUCCUGGCGUAACUUAAAGUCAAUCUAUCUCUCAAACUCCGAGGAACCAGACAACGAGCCACAUAUCAAAUUGAAGCUCUGGACAAGACGAAUCUAUCGGCAAAAACCGUUUGUCAAUCCGAUCUCAGACGCGCGCACACUCGCAGAAACAAUAGACGGCGCCGCCUUGGUCUUUUGGAACCCUAAUCCCGAAGAACCUUAAUUCGUUCUUGAUUCCGUUCCAGCAAGCAUUACCGUCUCAGCUUCAUCCCGUUCUCAGCUCAGACGAACCCUUGAACUCAAUCCCGUCUCGCGUUCCCGUCACUACCUCAGCUCGAUCCGACGAUCAGCCUCAACCCGUUCGCGAGAGACAACCAAGGCGAUCGCUACCUAACAAACCUAACCCGAUCGCAUCCUCUCAGCUCGCGAUCCCAAAGCAGCCAGCUCGCGUCCGUUCGAGGUUCAUCUUGGUGGUCCGGUUUCUACAAUCUACAAAACAAAGGUAAUCCUAAUUCUGAGAACAUGAAUUGAACAUGGUUGUUUUGUAAAGAUUGAAACCCUAAAAUCAGAACUCUAAAGAUGAAAGCCAUAGGGAAAAUAGAUCAAACCCUAAAGAGUAAAUCGGAGCUCGAAUAAGUCCGAUCCCCUAAACCAUAAUUCGAGAUUGAUCCAUUGAUCAAUUAAAAUCAAAGUCUUAAUGAUUUUGAAUCUCAAAUCAAAUCCCCUUGAUCAAAGAUCAAAGUUUUUCGAAAUCUCCUAAAAACCCUAAUUUUGGAAAAUCGGUUUUAAAUUGUUUGAUUUAAACUUUGAUUGUUUGAUCACCUAGAGCUAUUGAUAAGAUUGUUUAAAUUCGAAUCUAAAUCACUCAAACUGAAACCCUAAAAGUUUAAAUCGGUUUUAAAAUGUCUUUGUUUGAUGAUUGAUGAUCUGAGAUGUUAGGAUUGUUAAAUUGAUUAAUAGAUCUAAUCUCAAGAUUUGAAAUCCUUAAGGCCUUGAAACCCUUAAUCUUGAUUGAUAUUCCUAAAGGCCUUGAAACCUUAAAUCUCUCAUUACUUAAAACCUGAAAGAUUGAUUUAAAGAAUUUACAUAUUGAAUGAGAGUUAGGUUGCUAGAUUAUUUGAUUGAUAUGGAUCGUGUGGCAUUGUGUUUUUGUUAUCAAUCAUACUGAAUGGCCGUGAGGCAUAAUGCAUUGGUUCAUACAUGCAGCCUUGUGCCCUUGAUUGAGAUUAAAGCCGUAAGGCCUAAGCAUCACAAAACAUGAGCCGUGUAGCCUAAAGUAUUAUAGAUAGACUUAUGAAAUCAUAUGCACUAAUUAUUUGAAUUGGUUGCAAGAAUUUUAAAUCAUGAAUUUAUUAAUGAUUUCAGAUGUCGAAAUUUGAGCCUUCGGAUUAUGCUGCCCUAGAUAUCUCUGGAGAUAAUUAUCCAGAAUGGGAAAUGAACACUUCAAUUGCACUGAAGUCUAGAGGACUCGGGAAAUGUAUCAUUGAAAGAAAUGAUGAAGUUGAAAGUGAAAAGCAUAGAGCCAUAACAAUUAUGCGCUAUCAUCUCACUGAGGAACUGAGAAAUAAGUACGAAAGUAUUGAGGAUUCUUAUGAUCUUUGGAUAAAACUAAAAUCCAUAUACUCAAUGGAAUUAUGGCGAAAUGCCAUGAAUGAUUGGAAGAUACUCAGGUUCCAGGAUUUUAUAUCCGUGGAAGAAUACGAUUCUGCUCUAAUGAAAAUCGCCCAUAGUCUUGAACUAUGUGAUGAAGUGGUUACAGAUAAUGAUCUAUUGUAUAAAACAUAUUCGACAUUCAAUCCAAAGGAUCGGUUGCUAUCAUAUACAGCUAAAGGUUUCACAACCUAUAAUGACCUAUUGUCAUACCUAUUGGCAACUGAGAAAAGAAAUCAGAAAAUUAAAGAUACCAUUGACAGAUUUGAGAAACUUCAGAAAAGAUGCAUUGAGGAACAAAACAGUGAGAUGAGAUAUCCUGAGGCAUUGGAUCCGGAUGAAUCCAAGAAAGCCGUGUGGAGUAAUAUAGAUUGUGAGGCCGACUUAUACAUUGACUAAAAGAAAGAUCUCGACAUGAUAAUUUUAUUUUAAGUCUAUGAUUUUUUUAUUUGCUUUUGACCUACUUGAUGAUUCACGAUUUUGUUUUUAUAUAUUAUCUUGCUUGGUCUUGCUUGAUGAUUCUUGAUUAAAUAACAAAUAAAACCUUAAUAAAAAGAUAAUCAGUCCACUGAUAGUUGAUUUCAUGCAUGGUUUAACUUUACCUUGAUUGUAUAGGUUUAACUUUACCUUCCUGCAAUCACAUAAAAUCAACUGUUGGGUGUAGACUAAUGAGUCAGUUCACUGAUAGAUUGAUUUCUCGCAUAGAUUUAACUUCAUCUUGAUUGUAUAGGUUCAACUUUACCUUCCUACAAUCACUUGAAAUCAAUUAAUUGGUACUAACAAUGGCAAAAGACACGACAUUAUUCAGACCCAUUGAGUUAUAAAGAUUUGAAAAAAAAAAUUCAAUGUUUUCUACAUUGAACCAGUGAGCAAAGAAAAUAUGAUUCCUUUCAGAUUUUUGAAAAAUCGCCUAAAAGCAUUAUGAAUGCCUAUACCCAUAUUUUCUACUGAUUUAUUUUAUGCUAAGGAUCAGUAUGAAAGAGGCAUAAAGCCAUGGUAACCAGUAUGAUUCACCACGAAAUAAACACUUAUGGCAUGACCAGAUUAGCCAUCUUGAUCCAAAACAUGAUGAAAAAUUAAUUAAGACACAAAAGUGAUCCAAUAAAAUCUCACAAUGUGUUAUAAGUACACAAAAGGGAAAAUCACUAAAAUAAUUAAGGUUCCACUGUCCUAAGCACUACGAAAUUAUGAGUAUGUUCAUGAGGGGGAGAGAGGACUAAAACCCACAGUCCAUGAUCAUAUCAUAAAUUCGGAUUCCAUGGUUUACAACCAUAAUAUACACGGCUGGAAAGCUUUAAAGCUCUCACUAAUGGUACAUCACCCACGUCCAGCCUAAAGCUUAAGGACAUUAUGUAUAUAAAUAUUGAUUUACAUCAGGCCAUACAUGUAAGCAUAGACAUUCCCACCUCUGAAUGAUUAAGGAUCAUAAACCAGACAUAUACACAAACCAUCUUAAGAAAAUACGAAUAUUCCACCACAUAUAUGUGUUCCAUUUAAGAUGGAACCUCAGAUGAGGAUUGGAAAUAUAUAUUAGAUAAAUAAGACUUCCUCCACGAAACUAUAAUGUAUCUUGUGCCAAACAUGGAUGAUUUAAUCAAGUGGCCAAGAACACAGAUUACAAAAGAUAGUAAUCUGAUUAUCCAACUUUGAAAGGAGAAAGUUAUCAGGCUGAUAAAGAGUAAAGAGUAAAAGAGAAAUAUAAUGGUAUCAACCAUAGUUGUCUUGGCAAGAUCUUCAGACCAAAGAUUAUGAUCUAAACGUUCUAAAAGAAUAUGAUCAAAAGAUAUAAAAGCUAGCAGAAAUAUAUGCCAGACACACUGACCCGAAUUUAUUAGAGAUAGACGUUCAUACCAGCUUAAGCACCACGAAUUUGAUGUCUAAGAGACACAAUCAAGUUGCUACAAUGUCUAUUAGAGAUAGACAAAUAAGUUCCAAAUAAUAAGGAACCUCAGAAAGUAAUGAAAGGUGCUCAGAAUCGUACAAAUCCGAGUUCAUAAGAGAAACCAAUUCAAACAGAGAAAUAAGGUUGCGCAACCACACAUCUAAGGUACCAGACCAUGUAGUUUGGGAUGCCAAACUGCAAGGUAUAAAGGUCUUGGAUAAUAAGAUCUCAAAAUCAAAUUAGAUCAUGUCUGAAACAGUAUGAAACUGAAGAUAAAGAGUGUUAACACCAAAGAUGUAUUUACAUACAUAAGAGCUCAUAAAAGAUUGUAGUACUUGGGAUUUGAAGGAUAUAACCUGAGGAUCAUGAACCCACGUGGAGUACUCAUAAAACCUAUAUAGGGACGUGGGGUGUUCAAAGAAUUCAAAGUAAUUAUAAGACAGAUGGGCGUAGUAACCAUGUACAUACAGAAAAACCAUCUAAGAAAGAAACCAGUGAAUGGAUCUUGUGAGAUAAGAAAUUCCAUGAGAUUAAAGUACAUGACCACAUGGUAUAGUGUGUCCAUGUUCCUUCUAAAUAACGUUCAAGUAUAGCUUGAUUACACAAGGAUACUCACAAGGACCAAGGAACAAUUUAUAAAGAGAUAUGCUCCUAUAUGGUGGAUGCUACUACAGAAAAUUAAGUUUGAUUUUGUCUGGAUAUUUACUAAAGAAAUAAUGGUGUAGUAAGCAGCAAAUGGAUCACUGGAUAAAGGUAUCAACGUACCAUAGAAAUAUGAGAAAGAAAUUCUCAUAGAACAAGCUUUGUUCCUAAGUUGUUUAUGGAUUGUAAUAUACAGCAGCUGUAAGUAAUAUGAAAGACUAAGUAUUUACUUAGUGCAGUCAGUCCAUACAGAAGAUAUUAUAAUUCCUUGUGAUCAUAAUAAAGACCAACUGAGAGAAAAAUGUUUAAUGGUUCAAAGGUUCAAUGAUACAAGUUAUCGACUGAUUAAACAGGCUAUGUUUUUCAUAUGGAAAGUCUGUAGAAAAAUCAUAGCCGUGUGUGUGUGUAUGAUUAAGUCAGCACGCCUAAGUGAGAACCAUAAACCAGGAUAGUGACCAGAAGGAUGUCUGGUCGUGGCUUAAUGAUUAUAAGCAUUGCUAAAGCAAGAAAAGAUCGAUAACCAUGUACAAAGGACAUGAGUGUAUGACUGCGAAUUCAUUGUGUGAUGAGUUUCAUUGCAGCAAAUAAUUAUUGAUGGUAUGACCUUAGACACUCAUGAUUAUGAACGAAUAUAGACAAGGUCUAUAGCUCAACAUGGAUCGACAAAAGAAAAUAAAGAAUGAUUGGUUACAAUGGAUAAAACCAUUGGCACAUACGAAGAGAUAUAAGUCCGAAUGAACGAAAGAUAUGAAGUAAAGUUGUUCGUAUGUGUUCUGGGUCUAUGACUCAAUAUAUAUUGAAUGUCCACAUUUUGGGAAAGCCAUAUAACCAAAGAGAAUCCGUGGGACAUGAAAAAGGACCUGCAAGUAAAGUUUUAUUGCAGAUUAUAAAGUCCAUCUGAGCACCGUUUGAAGCACCAUCAGUUCAACCAAGACAUGGAGUGAUCAGCAGCAAAGAUGUACAUCCUGACCACAUCUUAAUGGAGUUCCAAAAGACAUACCAACGUCCAAGACUUACAAGUUCAUUCAAGGAGAAUCAAGCUGAUCAUCUUCACCAAAUCAUAGGCAACUUCAACGUUCAAGAAGACUCGGAUACCAGAUGGGAAUGCGUCUACUACAGUGAUGCAUUCAUCAGGGGGAGUUCAUGUGUUGUACUCUUUUUCCUGUCUUGUUUUCCCUUUUUACCACAUUGGGUUUUGGGUUUGUCAAGAGAGGUUUUAAUGAGGCAACAUCCAAAGCAUGAAUGAACCUUGACCGGAUGUGUCGAUCAAGGGGGAGUGUUAUAAACCAUUUAGUGAUCGACCCAUUUAUCAGCCCGUGUAGCAAGACAGGCCAAGCCCAUCCGCAGGAUCAUACUGGCGCCUAUCUACUCUUGUGUUUAUCCACAUUAUAGUUGGUGUUUAUCUUACAUAUUGCUAGUCAUUAUCUAGUUAAGGAUAAGUACGAUCUCAUGUCGAUCCAGUACUUAGACCGUCAUUACCAUGUAUAUAAAGACCAGUUGAUCGACCUAAUAAUAAAGAUAAGUUCCCCUCUUCAAUCACAACAAUUUUAAAAUAAAGAAACUGCACCUACUCUGUGACAGAAAAAAUUUAUAACUGAUUGAAUGACUAAUUCACCUAAAUAGCUAGAAUACAAUGUAUAUUUUAUAUAAUAUACUG
rnacentral:lncRNA from 1 species